rnacentral:rRNA from 1 species
UACAGAGGGUGCAAGCGUUAAUCGGAAUUACUGGGCGUAAAGCGCACGUAGGCGGUUAGUUAAGUUGGAUGUGAAAGCCCCGGGCUCAACCUGGGAACUGCAUCCAAAACUGGCAAGCUAGAGUAUGGUAGAGGGUGGUGGAAUUUCCUGUGUAGCGGUGAAAUGCGUAGAUAUAGGAAGGAACACCAGUGGCGAAGGCGACCACCUGGACUGAUACUGACACUGAGGUGCGAAAGCGUGGGGAGCAAACAGG